GAUAAACGCUGGCGGCGUGCCUAAUACAUGCAAGUCGAGCGAACGGACGAGAAGCUUGCUUCUCUGAUGUUAGCGGCGGACGGGUGAGUAACACGUGGAUAACCUACCCAUAAGACUGGGAUAACUUCGGGAAACCGGAGCUAAUACCGGAUAAUAUUUUGAACCGCAUGGUUCAAAAGUGAAAGACGGUCUUGCUGUCACUUAUAGAUGGAUCCGCGCUGCAUUAGCUAGUUGGUAAGGUAACGGCUUACCAAGGCAACGAUGCAUAGCCGACCUGAGAGGGUGAUCGGCCACACUGGAACUGAGACACGGUCCAGACUCCUACGGGAGGCAGCAGUAGGGAAUCUUCCGCAAUGGGCGAAAGCCUGACGGAGCAACGCCGCGUGAGUGAUGAAGGUCUUCGGAUCGUAAAACUCUGUUAUUAGGGAAGAACAUAUGUGUAAGUAACUGUGCACAUCUUGACGGUACCUAAUCAGAAAGCCACGGCUAACUACGUGCCAGCAGCCGCGGUAAUACGUAGGUGGCAAGCGUUAUCCGGAAUUAUUGGGCGUAAAGCGCGCGUAGGCGGUUUUUUAAGUCUGAUGUGAAAGCCCACGGCUCAACCGUGGAGGGUCAUUGGAAACUGGAAAACUUGAGUGCAGAAGAGGAAAGUGGAAUUCCAUGUGUAGCGGUGAAAUGCGCAGAGAUAUGGAGGAACACCAGUGGCGAAGGCGACUUUCUGGUCUGUAACUGACGCUGAUGUGCGAAAGCGUGGGGAUCAAACAGGAUUAGAUACCCUGGUAGUCCACGCCGUAAACGAUGAGUGCUAAGUGUUAGGGGGUUUCCGCCCCUUAGUGCUGCAGCUAACGCAUUAAGCACUCCGCCUGGGGAGUACGACCGCAAGGUUGAAACUCAAAGGAAUUGACGGGGACCCGCACAAGCGGUGGAGCAUGUGGUUUAAUUCGAAGCAACGCGAAGAACCUUACCAAAUCUUGACAUCCUUUGACAACUCUAGAGAUAGAGCCUUCCCCUUCGGGGGACAAAGUGACAGGUGGUGCAUGGUUGUCGUCAGCUCGUGUCGUGAGAUGUUGGGUUAAGUCCCGCAACGAGCGCAACCCUUAAGCUUAGUUGCCAUCAUUAAGUUGGGCACUCUAAGUUGACUGCCGGUGACAAACCGGAGGAAGGUGGGGAUGACGUCAAAUCAUCAUGCCCCUUAUGAUUUGGGCUACACACGUGCUACAAUGGACAAUACAAAGGGCAGCGAAACCGCGAGGUCAAGCAAAUCCCAUAAAGUUGUUCUCAGUUCGGAUUGUAGUCUGCAACUCGACUACAUGAAGCUGGAAUCGCUAGUAAUCGUAGAUCAGCAUGCUACGGUGAAUACGUUCCCGGGUCU
rnacentral:rRNA from 1 species